UUCCCAUCUUGCAAGAUGGCGGGUGAAAAAGUUGAGAAGCCAGAUACUGAAGAGAAGAAACCCGAAGCCAAGAAGGCUGAUGCUGGUGGCAAGGUGAAAAAGGGUAACCUCAAGGCUAAGAAGCCCAAGAAGGGGAAGCCCCAUUGCAGCCGCAACCCUGUCCUUGUCAGAGGAAUUGGCAGGUAUUCCCGAUCUGCCAUGUAUUCCAGAAAGGCCAUGUACAAGAGGAAGUACUCAGCCGCUAAAUCCAAGGUUGAAAAGAAAAAAAGGAGAAGGUUCUUGCAACUCUUACAAAACCAGUUGGUGGUGACAAGAACGGCGGUACCCGGGUGGUUAAACUUCGCAAAAUGCCUAGAUAUUAUCCUACUGAAGAUGUGCCUCGAAAGCUGUUGAGCAACAGAAAAAAACCCUUCAAUCAGCACGUGAGAAAACUGCGAGCCAGCAUUACCCCCGGGACCACUCUGAUCAUCCUCACUGGACGCCACAGGGGCAAGAGGGUGGUUUUCCUGAAGCAGCUGGCUACUGGCUUGUUACUUGUGACUGGACCUCUGGUCCUCAAUCGAGUUCCUCUACGAAGAACACACCAGAAAUUUGACAUUGCCACCUCAACCAAAAUCGAUAUCAGCAAUGUGAAAAUCCCAAAACAUCUUACUGAUGCUUACUUCAAGAAGAAGAAGCUGCGGAAGCCCAGACACCAGGAAGGUGAGAUCUUUGACACAGAAAAA